GCUUGUGAGAAAUGCAGCAUCUCAAGCUCUACUACAGACUAUGGAAUCAAAAUUUGCAUUUGUCUCAGAAGCUAAGCAGGGUUGGGCCUGGUUAGUACUUGGAUGGGAGACCACCUAGGAAGACCAGGUGCUGUAGGCG
rnacentral:rRNA from 1 species